UACAGAGGGCGCGAGCGUUGUUCGGAAUCACUGGGCGUAAAGCGCGCGCAGGCGGACCAGGCAAGUCUGGAGUGAAAUCUCGCCGCUCAACGGCGAGGCUGCUUUGGAAACUGCGGGUCUGGAGACCGGUAGAGGCUGGUAGAAUUGCAGGUGUAGCGGUGGAAUGCGUAGAGAUCUGCAAGAAUACCCGUGGCGAAGGCGGCCAGCUGGGCCGGUUCUGACGCUGAGGCGCGAAAGCGUGGGGAGCAAACAGG
rnacentral:rRNA from 1 species